rnacentral:rRNA from 1 species
CUCAAAGGAAUUGACGGGGACCCGCACAAGCAGCGGAGCGUGUGGUUUAAUUCGAUGCUACACGAAGAACCUUACCCAGGUUUGACAUACUAGUGGUAGUGAACUGAAAGGGGAACGACCCGCAAGGGAGCUAGUACAGGUGUUGCAUGGCUGUCGUCAGCUCGUGUCGUGAGAUGUUGGUUUAAGUACCCUAACGAGCGCAACCCUUAUUGCCAGUUACACGUAUCUGGCGAGACUGCCGGCCACAAGCCGGAGGAAGGCGAGGAUGACGUCAAGUCAGCAUGGCCUUUAUAUCUGGGGCUACACACACGCUACAAUGGGCGUAACAAUGGGAUGCCAAGCCGUGAGGCGGAGCCAAUCCCCCAAAUACGUCCUCAGUUCAGAUUGCAGGCUGCAACCCGCCUGCAUGAAGUCGGAGUUGCUAGUAAACGCGCGUCAGCUAUAGUGCGUUGAAUACGUUCCCGGGUCUUGUACACACCGCCCGUCACACUAUGGGAGCUGGUAAUACCUGAAGCCGGUAGCCUAACCGCAAGGAAGGCGCCGUCAAAGGUAGGGCUGGUGACUGGAGUGAAGUCGUAACAGGUAGUGUACGGAACGUGCGGCUGGAUCACCUCCUU